rnacentral:lncRNA from 12 species
CACACAAAGAAAACUUUUUCACAUAAUUGUCUUCAUUAAGUGAAAUCAUCAGGGCGGUUGCAGAUGCCAGGGGCUCUCAGAAGGCAGAGGGGGCCUGGCCCAGCGCCCCGCAGCGGCCUGGCCUGCAACGGGAGCGAAGUGGGGCCCGCGGAAGUGGAUCUGAGGAGCAGGAGCCAUCAGACCUCAGGUUUCCUUUUUCCCCGAGAUGGAAACUCAGCAGCUCUCAGAGAGGAGCUGGGGAGAGAUGGAAACUCAGCAGCUCUCAGAGAGGAGCUGGGGAUCCCUUGGCUCUGGCUGAAGCAGCAUCACUUCCCUGAACUGCAGAGUUCAGGGAGGACAACUGCUGUGCCCUGCCACUGCAGGACAAGGGAUGCUAACUGGGAGAUAUUUACACAAUAUUUGUCAUUUAAAAAUAAAAAAUUACUGCACUGGGAGCUCUGACAGCUCCAGCACUGUCAAAGGAUAAGAGGCUAAAUAGAUUUUGAGUAGAAGUAUUGGCCUUUGAUGAGCCUUGUGAGUCCCUUCCAAUUUAGGAUUUUCUGUGAUGUGAUGUUUUAACUCUUUCAUUUGCCACAAUAUUGCAGAAAUGGCCAAGCUAGCACAGAGCAGGUAUGUUCACAGCAGAGCAGAGGUUUGGUGCAACUGAGCUGGUCUGAAACCCUGAGCUCUGAUGCAGAUAUCAAUCUAUUGAGAUAUUGAGAUAUUGAGGAAUUGUGUGGGCACACCUUGUCACAGCUCAGCCUCAAGACUGUGCUUGCACUGGUGGUUUCUUAGUUUGGGUGAACUGGAGAAAAAGGAGAGGAAACCUACAAUAAUUGUUUAGAAAUAACAGUUUAUGAGAGGGGAAACCAUAAACAGUUAAACAAGGUAUUGAAGGGAAAUCAAAGCUAAAAUCACAGAAUAUCCUGAGCUGGAAGGGACCCACACAGAUGACCCAGUCCAGCUCCUGGCCCUGCACAGGACAACCCCAAAACCCCACCCUGUGCCUCAGAGUGUUUUCCAACAUGUUGAGCCUUCAGAGAAUGUGGUGGGCACAGGUAGAUCAUCAAAACCUCAGCACCACGACACAAAAAUGAAUUCAAUACUGGUAUUGGAGUUGGAAGGAUGAUCUGGCAGGUCUGAUUUCUCUUGGUUAAUGCCCAUCUAAUUUCUCUCUCUCCUCAGUUUCAGUUCUAUUGGGAUGACAUUUCAAAUCUCAGUGCUCUGCAUGAAUUCCAAAAGCAGCCUGUGCCAGUGGGCAGUGAGAAUUUAGCAUCUGAAUGAAUUUCAGCCUCGUGUUUUGUCCUGAAUGCUUGCUGCUCCCUUUUCAGAUCUGGAAAGUUGCAGAGUGACAUAUCUCUGGAUUUUUUAUAUUGUGAUUCUUUUCUCCUAGGAUCUAUGCCCUGCCAGUUCUGGGAAACUUGUGACCUCUGCAUUUUUAAUUAGAACCCGUAACUUUUUCCAUAGCAACAUAUUUUGAUGCUGCAAAUACAGAAUCUGUCAAAUCAAACAACUCCUGGUUAGAUGAAAUCCAAAUAUAUGGAAAUGCUGAGCAGUAAUAAGAUGUAGGAUAUGGCACAGUAAAGAAAAAAAUUGAAAGAGACAAUAAAAGAAGGAUGGAAACUUUGCUUAAUUUAUAAGUUUGAUUCUAGUAAUUAAUUGAUCAAUACAAAUUAUUAAAUUGUUGUGUCAGCACCCACCUGGUACAAAGGAAUGAACUAUUCUCAGGAAAUAUUUUAGAUGUGGCAAAGUCUCACUCACAAGGAUGAUCAGUAGAAGCAGGUGUUGAAAGCAAAAUAAUCCUCUGAAACAAAGCCCAAGUUCAGAUAUUUACAGAAUAAUGAAGCUCAAUAGGACGAGUUGAGGCAAAUAAUUCAGUAAGACAGCAGUUCUAGAUAGACUUUUCCAAAACCAUUGAUUUAUGAGCAUACCUUGCAUGUGCCAAAAAAUUAUUUCCUUCAACAAGAAAGUUUUGGAAUUUUUGUUGUUUGGCUUUACUGUGUAAGGGUUACUGGAAUUCAUUCAUUGAUUCUCAAUUACUAACAUUUUUUGGUAUUAUUGUUUUUA